AGAACGAACGCUGGCGGCAUGCCUAACACAUGCAAGUCGAACGAGACCUUCGGGUCUAGUGGCGCACGGGUGCGUAACGCGUGGGAAUCUGCCCUUGGGUUCGGAAUAACAGUUAGAAAUGACUGCUAAUACCGGAUGAUGACUUCGGUCCAAAGAUUUAUCGCCCAAGGAUGAGCCCGCGUAGGAUUAGGUAGUUGGUAGGGUAACGGCCUACCAAGGCUACGAUCCGUAGCC
rnacentral:rRNA from 1 species